GUCCGCAACGAGCGCAACCCCUACUUGUUAGUUGCCAUCAUUCAGUUGGGCACUCUAGCGAGACUGCCGGUAAUAAACCGGAGGAAGGUGGGGAUGACGUCAAAUCAUCAUGCCCCUUACUGACCUGGGCUACACACGUGCUACAAUGGUUGGUACAACGAGUUGCGAGUCGGUGACGGCGAGCUAAUCUCUUAAAGCCAAUCUCAGUUCGGAUUGUAGGCUGCAACUCGCCUACAUGAAGUCGGAAUCGCUAGUAAUCGCGGAUCAGCACGCCGCGGUGAAUACGUUCCCGGGCCUU
rnacentral:rRNA from 1 species